rnacentral:rRNA from 1 species
GAUGAACGCUGGCGGCGUGCUUAAUACAUGCAAGUCGAGCGAAAAGACGAGGAGUUUGCUCCUCUGUCGUUUGCCGCGGACGGGUGUGUAACACGUGGAUAAUCUACCUAUAAGUCUGGGAUCUUCUCGGGAAACCGGCGAUUAUACCGGAUAAUAUAUUGAACCGCAUGGUUCAAUAGUGAAAGACGGCUUUGCUGUCUCUUAUAGAUGGAUACGCGCGGCAUUAGCUAGUUGUUAAGGUCACGGCUUAUCACGGCAACUAUGCGUAACCGACCUGAUAGGGGGGUCGGCCACACUAGAACGUAGACAGGGUCCAGAGGCCUACGGGAGGGAGCAGAAGGGAAUCGUCCGCAGUGGUGGAAAACCUGGCGGAGCAACGCCGCGUGAGAGAUGGAAGUGUUCGGAGCGUAAAACUCUGUUAUUGGGUGAAAACAAAUGUGGAAGUAACUAUGCAGUUCUUGACGGUACCUAGUCAGAAAGCAACGGCUAACUACGUG